rnacentral:rRNA from 1 species
GACGAACGCUGGCGGCGUGCCUAAUACAUGCAAGUCGAACGCAGUGGGGACGGGUGAGUAACACGUGGGUAACCUCCCAUCAGAGGGGAUAACACUUGGAAACAGGUGCUAAACCGAUACUGAUGGAUGAACCCGCGGUGCAUUAGCUAGUUGGUGGGGUAACGGCUCACCAAGGCCACGAUGCCUAGCCGACCUGAGAGGGUGAUCGGCCACACUGGGACUGAGACACGGUCCAGACUCCUACGGGAGGCAGCAGUAGGGAAUCUUGGGCAAUGGACGAAAGUCUGACGGAGCAACGCCGCGUGAGUGAAGAAGGUUUUCGGGUCGUAAAGCUCUUUUGUUGGGGAAGCGGUAUCUAAAGAGAAAGCCACGGCUAACUACGUGCCAGCAGCCGCGGUAAUAC